UACAGAGGGUGCGAGCGUUAAUCGGAAUUACUGGGCGUAAAGCGUGCGUAGACGGUUAUUUAAGUCGGGUGUGAAAGCCCCGGGCUCAACCUGGGAAUUGCAUUCGAGACUGAAUAGCUAGGGUACGGUAGAGGGAAGCGGAAUUUCCGGUGUAGCGGUGAAAUGCGUAGAUAUCGGAAGGAACAUCAGUGGCGAAAGCGGCUUCCUGGACCUUUACUGACGCUGAGGAGCGAAAGCCAGGGGAGCAAACGGG
rnacentral:rRNA from 1 species